AGAGUUUUGAUCCUGGCUCAGGGAUGAACGCUGCGGCGUGCCUAACACAUGCAAGUCGAACGGGAACAGAAUGAAACCUAGUGAUUUUGUUUUAGUGGCGGACGGGUGAGUAACGCGUGGGUAACCUGCCGUAUACAGGGGGAUAACACUUAGAAAUAGGUGCUAAUACCGCAUAAGCGCACAGCUCCGCAUGGAGCAGUGUGAAAAGCGUAAACGGUAUACGAUGGACCCGCGUCUGAUUAGCUAGUUGGCGGGGUAGAGGCCCACCAAGGCGACGAUCAGUAGCCGGCCUGAGAGGGUGACCGGCCACAUUGGGACUGAGACACGGCCCAAACUCCUACGGGAGGCAGCAGUGGGGAAUAUUGCACAAUGGGGGGAACCCCGAUGCAGCGACGCCGCGUGAGUGAAGAAGUAUUUCGGUAUGUAAAGCUCUAUCAGCAGGGAAGAAAAUGACGGUACCUGACUAAGAAGCCCCGGCUAACUACGUG
rnacentral:rRNA from 1 species